CCUACGGGAGGCAGCAGUGAGGAAUAUUGGUCAAUGGGCGAGAGCCUGAACCAGCCAAGUCGCGUGAGGGAGUACUUCCCUAUGGGUUGUAAACCUCUUUUGUCGGGGAGCAAAAGCCGGACGUGUCCGGCUGUGAGAGUACCCGAAGAAAAAGCAUCGGCUAAAUCCGUGCCAGCAGCCGCGGUAAUACGGGGGAUGCGAGCGUUAUCCGGAUUUAUUGGGGUAAAAGGGUGCGCAGGCGGAGUUUUAAGUCAGCGGUCAAAUCGUGGGGCUAAACCCCAUCCAGCCGGUGAAACUGGGGAUCUAGAGUGUGCGAGAGGUAUGCGGAAUGCGUGGUGUAGCGGUGAAAUGCAUAGAUAUCACGCAGAACCCCGAUUGCGAAGGCAGCAUACCGGUGCACAACUGACGCUCAGGCACGAAAGCGUGGGUAUCGAACAGGAUUAGAUACCCGAGUAGUC
rnacentral:rRNA from 1 species